GCAAACUUGGUCAUUUAGAGGAAGUAAAAGUCGUAACAAGGUCUCCGUUGGUGAACCAGCGGAGGGAUCAUUAAAAGAGUUGAAAAACUCCCUAAACCCACUGUGAACCUACCCAUAUUUCUUGCUUCGGCAGGCGGCCCCGGGGAGGGGCCACGGCCUUUUAGCUAAGGUGCCUGCCGGGGGUCAAACCUAACUCUGUUGCUGUUGUGUUGCUCUGAGUACCUAAAGUAAAUAAGUCAAAACUUUCAACAACGGAUCUCUUGGUUCUGGCAUCGAUGAAGAACGCAGC
rnacentral:misc_RNA from 1 species